GAACAGAGCCAUGUGCCUGCCCUGAUGCUC
rnacentral:piRNA from 1 species